rnacentral:piRNA from 1 species
CAGAAGUGUCUAAUAACCUGAAAAUUCCUGC